rnacentral:rRNA from 1 species
ACUCCUACGGGAGGCAGCAGUGAGGAAUUUUGCGCAAUGGGCGAAACCCUGACGCAGCGACGCCGCGUGAGUGAUGAAGGCCUUCGGGUCGUAAAGCUCUGUCAAGUGGGAAGAAGUGGCUAUAGGUUAAUAGCAUUAAUUCUUGACGGUACCUCCAGAGGAAGCACCGGCUAACUCCGUGCCAGCAGCCCCGGUAAUACGGGGGGUGCAAGCGUUGUUCGGAAUUACUGGGCGUAAAGCGCGUGUAGGCGGUUCUUUAAGUCAGAUGUGAAAGCCCGGGGCUCAACCCCGGAAGUGCAUUGGAAACUGCCAGACUUGAGUACGGGAGAGGAAAGUGGAAUUCCUGGUGUAGAGGUGAAAUUCGUAAAUAUCAGGAGGAACACCGGUGGCGAAGGCGGCUCUCUGGACCGAUACUGACGCUGAGGUGCGAAGGCGUGGGGAGCAAACAGGAUUAGAUACCCUGGUAGUCCACGCCGUAAACGAUGUUAACUAGGUGUUGCGGGUAUUAACCCCUGCUGUGCCGCAGCUAACGCAUUAAGCGCUCCGCCUGGGGAGUACGGUCGCAAGGUUAAAACUCAAAGGAAUUGACGG